UAGAAAUACACAAACUCAUUUAAGCUAGAUGUCGCACACUCUAACCACCAAAGUCUAUCACACAAGCAUGAAGCUUAUCCUCUAGAAUCUGAAUAGUCCGUCUAACUAAUUAUUGCUCUAGGGGUAAAAAGUUUUACUAAGAUCAACCUGGGUACCCAACUCCUUUUACUAAGAUCAACCUGGGUACCCAACUCCUCCAGAAAUGUCUU
rnacentral:lncRNA from 1 species